CGCGAUUAAUCGAAUUUCGAAGGUGCACAACGCGCCGAUUGUUGCGAUCUGUGCCACGUUUCAUCGAAUUUUAUUUCUUUACCUCAAACCUUCGUGCCUUAAAAUUCUAAGAAUCCUUGAAAUCGUGAGCCCUGAAACUUUAGCACUCCCACUUUCACUCGCGCUCGAACGGCACGAACCGAAAGAGAACGUACAAAUUCCGCGCCAACGGGAUCAGCUGAUCGCUCAGCGAUGUCCGCAACUGCGGUCGAGUAUUGAUGUACCGUAAAGUGGCGAAUGAGCGACAGCCUCGGAUUCUCGCAAUCGUACAUCCGUUUCAGGAAACGGGGUUGGGAGAGCUGAGAUGUGUGCAGAUCGCAUUACGAUUGUCAACCAUUCGUAAAACGAUUAGAGAUAAGAUAAAAUUAUAAUCUACCAAUAAGCGUUAUAGGACGAAAAGACAAGAUGACGUUGCUGCAACAAUUUGCGGAUUUGUUGAGCAUAAUAACAAUAGGCAUGUGCUUCGUACUGAAAAUUCCGCAGAUAUUGAAGUUAGUUUCUAUAAAGACAGCCGAUGGAAUAUCUAUGCUAGGAUUAUUUUUAGAAUUGACAAGUUACACUGUGAUGACUAGUUAUAAUUAUAUAAAUGGAUAUUCGUUGUUGUCUUACUUGGAGUAUCCAAUAAUACUAGUGCAAGAAUAUAUACUGAUUUUUCUUGUGCUGAAAUAUUUGAGCAGGCUCAAUACAUGGUCCCUCUUAGGUGCCAUAGUGUACUUUGCGCUGAGCAGCUGUUUGCUGCUGGGAAUUGUUCCAAAAAUUAUACUUAUAUUUUUAGCGCCAAUGUGCACUCCGAUCUCAGCUUCCAGCAAAGUCGUUCAGUUGCUAGCUAUACUUCGAGCCAAGAACGCAGAGUCGGUAUCGCCUCUUACUUGGUUUAUAUCCGCCUUCACUAAUCUGACGAGAGUAUUCACAAUAUGGAUGGAUUCUGCUGAUAUAUUACUGCUGGGGAAUUUUAUCAUCUCAGUUCUGCUGAGUUCCAGCAUCAUGUUCUCCGCCCUUUAUUAUCGAAGCCGCCCGUUAAAGCAGGAUUAAAUGAAUAAACAGGCAAAUUGUCUAGUUAUAAUGUACGCAAUCAAAUUGAUUUGAGCACGACUUGUGCUGUAUAUUUGUUGAGAGCGUAAUAACGUAAGAACUCCAGAUGAAGACGGAACGUACAAGCAGCUUGGGAUAUUUGAACUUAGGUCCACACAAGAUUCAGACUCCGGCUUGAAGAUCACUGAUCCGUUCCACCCCCACCGAGCUCUUCUCAUCUGGCAAGUCGACGGCACUGGAUGAACUCUGGUCUGGACCAUGGACAGUCGACACUGAGAAAGCGUCCAAGCAUCGUCAUCUCUCUCACGUGAGAGAGAGAGGGAGAAAGGGAGCAAGGCGAAGAGCGUG